rnacentral:rRNA from 1 species
UUCAGCUAAGCUCGUAGUUGGAUUUGUGGCUGUCACGGGCGGCCUAUCACUUAGUGUUAGUGCUUGCCUGUGUCGCCAUCCUUGGGUGGAGCCCGUGUGGCAUUAGGUUGUCGUGCGGGGGAUGCCCAUCGUUUACUGUGAGAAAAUUAGAGUGUUCAAAGCAGGCUUAUGCCGUUGAAUAUGUUAGCAUGGAAUAAUAAGAUAGGACCUCGGUACUAUUUUGUUGGUUUGCGCACCGAGGUAAUGAUUAAUAGGGACAGUUGGGGGUAUUCGUAUUCCAUUGUCAGAGGUGAAAUUCUUGGAUUUCUGGAAGACGAACUACUGCGAAAGCAUUUACCAAGGAUGUUUUCAUUAAUCAAGAACGAAAGUUAGGGGAUCGAAGAUGAUUAGAUACCAUUCGUAGUCA